rnacentral:rRNA from 1 species
UACGUAGGGUGCGAUCGUUAAUCGGAAUUACUGGGCGUAAAGCGUGCGCAGGCGGUUUUGUAAGUCUGACGUGAAAUCCCCGGGCUCAACCUGGGAAUUGCGUUGGAGACUGCAAGGCUAGAAUCUGGCAGAGGGGGGUAGAAUUCCCGGUGUAGCGGUGAAAUGCGCAGAUAUCGGGAGGAACACCAGUGGCGAAGGCGGCACUCUGGGCCGGAACUGACGCUGAGGAGCGAAAGCGUGGGGAGCGAACAGG